rnacentral:rRNA from 1 species
CCCUUAGAUGCUCUGGGCCGCACGCGCGCUACACUGGUCGAUGCAACGAGUUUCUUUCCUUGGCCGACAGGCCUGGGCAAUCUUUGAACAUCGAUCGUGAUCGGGAUAGAUUCUUGUAAUUUUUGAUCUUAAACGAGGAAUUCCUAGUAAACGCAAGUCAUCAGCUUGCAUUGAUUACGUCCCUGCCCUUUGUACACACCGCCCGUCGCACCUACCGAUUGAAUGGUCCGGUGAAAUCUCCGGACUGGCGUGAGUCGGAGCAAUCUGACAAACACCGGAAAGUUGAUUAGACCUUACCAUUUAGAGGAAGGUGAAGUCGUAACA